AGCAGCCGCGGUAAUUCCAGCUCCAAUAGCGUAUAUUAAAGUUGUUGCAGUUAAAAAGCUCGUAGUUGAAUUUCGGGAUCAGUACGCUGGUCAUGCCUUUGGUAUGCACUGGUGUCACUGGUUUCUCCCUUCUGAAGAACCGUGAUGUCAUUAAUUUGGUGUCGCGGGGAAUCAGGACUGUUACUUUGAAAAAAUUGAGUGUUUAAAGCAGGCUCACGCUUGAAUACAUUAGCAUGGAAUAAUGAAAUAGGACGUUUGACCCUAUUUUGUUGGUUUCUAGGAUCGACGUAAUGAUUAAUAGGGAUAGUUGGGGCAUUAGUAUUCAAUUGUCAGAGGUG
rnacentral:rRNA from 1 species